GGUUCCAUGGCUCAUUUGGUUAGAGCGUGGUGCUAAUAUUUCGUAUGUUACGCCAGGGUCGGGAGUUCGACCCUCUCUGGAACCA
rfam:Tuber melanosporum whole genome shotgun sequence assembly, scaffold_30, strain Mel28